GAUGAAGAACGCAGCGAAAUGCGAUAAGUAAUGUGAAUUGCAGAAUUCAGUGAAUCAUCGAAUCUUUGAACGCACAUUGCGCCCCCUGGUAUUCCGGGGGGCAUGCCUGUUCGAGCGUCAUUUCACCACUCAAGCCUCGCUUGGUAUUGGGCGACGCGGUCCGCCGCGCGCCUCAAAUCGACCGGCUGGGUCUUUCGUCCCCUCAGCGUUGUGGAAACUAUUCGCUAAAGGGUGCCGCGGGAGGCCACGCCGUAAAACAACCCCAUUUCUAAGGUUGACCUCGGAUCAGGUAGGGAUACCCGCUGAACUUAAGCAUAUCAAUAAGCGGAUGA
rnacentral:misc_RNA from 1 species